UGAAGUUACGAGCGAAAAUGCUACAUGACAGCUACCUUACAUUUUUUUUUUUUUUUUUUUACUAAACUACAUGCCACCAGUGCAGUUUUAUGUGUUAUAAAUUACUGAGGAAUAUCUUUAGAUAUAAAUGACGGAUUCUUAUGGGCUGCGUCGGAUGAUAUCAUUUAUGAUGAAAUGAUGAUAUCAUUUACUCCAUUUAGCAGCGCGUCAUGGCAACAAAAUAACGUUAAGCCAACAACAAAAAUACAAAGAGGCGACUUGAUAAAUUCACUGAAUUAGUUCCUUCGCUCUAACAGUCUACAAACCGAGACAGAUGGCAUGUAAGGCUGUUGCCCACCGGAAAGACUUUCACUGGAGAGUUAGACUUUGAACCCUGACAGCAGCUGACUUCACCUCAGUAAGGCUAUGCAACUCUGUUGUGUAACACUUAACUGACAAUCUGUACUCACAAAAAAAUUUCUAUAUAUAUUUUUUUCUGAACUGUGGAUUACUAUGCUGUUUAGAUGAAGAAAAUUUAUGGACUUUGCUUGCCUUAAAAUGGACACCAGCUUGGAUGUCCCGCAAAGCAGGAAACCUCAUGUGAGAGUCUGCGCACGACUAAGGGAUUCACUUACCCCGUGCCCUUGAACAUCCCAACCGGAGAUUGCGAAUAUGCGUGGUAUCUGAUGAAUGGAGUGUGCUGCUCAUUCAGAUGAAAAAAUGUUAGGACCUGUAGUGGCUAUGACCUUCCAGAAUCAGACAGUAAGUGCCUGUGAGGACCUGCAGUGGCAACUUCACUGUGACAACAUUUAGACCUUGAGAGAAAACGAGAUGGAAACCAUAAUGGCUAUAUUUCAGCUGGUUUACCUGGCUGGGGUACUGCUUUAAUUGGGACUGGCAUUGAUUGGAAUUGUUGGUGCAUUGAUUGCUAUUUGGUUUCCUCAUCGAAACAGGUCAAGUGGUUAAAGAUCUGGACUGUUAACCAUAAUUUAACCAUUAUGCCAUUGUCACUUAUUGUUGCACUUAUCUAUCAUUUUACUGUUUUAAUAGCAUUUAGCAUAUCACAGCAUUAAGAUUCUAGUGCUAGUUUUUAUUUUUUUAAUCCAAAAGUAAUUUUGAUACUGUCUCGUGGUACAUCCAAGGCAGAACUACUGUGAGGAGGGCACUGACACAAAAAUGAAAAGUUACAUUAUCAAUUAUUGUCGUAAGAAUAAUUAAAAAUUAAUAAGUUUUAAUAUAACUCUAUAAUGUGUAUAGUUAAACCAUAAAUAUACUAACUACAUGUACCCCUUUUUUCUUGGAAAAUAUUAGUAAAUGUCCCAUUCUAUCUCAUUAUGGUGAUGAUGUUAAAACCUAGAGAGAUUACUGAGCUGACAUAAUUAGUAUGCAAAUUAAGGUAAAUGAUAUUUUUAAGUUCUACUUAUCAAGCACUCAUUAUAUGGACAUUAAGGGGGACAUGUAUGUUUAGUGUGUACAGUACUCUACCUGCAGAGCUACCCUAAAAGCUAUGUCAAAGGCAAUGUGUGGUCAUUUAUUUUUAUUUUUUUCAAAGAUUUUGGGUCCCACUUUAUAUUAAGUGGCCUUAACUACUAUGUGCUUACAUCAAAAAAAUAAGUACAG